AUCGCUUCUCCGCCUCUUGGCUAAGAUCAAGUGUAGUUAUCUUCUUAUUAGUUUAGUAGGUGAUAUACCCUCUAUCCGAGGACAAUAUAUUAAGUGGGUUUUUGGAGCAGGGAGUGGGAAUAGGAGCUUGCUUUGUUCACUCCACGGACAGACCUUGUCUUUGCAGUACUUCCAGGAAUGGUGCACCCCUU